rnacentral:lncRNA from 1 species
GCAUAUGAGGGAAUACCUAGAUAACAGAAAAGCAAAGAUCAGUGAUGAAUGAACAGAAAUUCUAGCAACAGUAACAACAGCCAAUCAGUGCUAGAAACAGCCCAAAAAAUCCCGCGAAGAUACUUGAAACUAGUAACUAACAAACUCAGAACAUAGCCAAACGAUUGCUCUAUUUUCUUAAUGAUUUUGCACUCUAGGAGUCACUCACAAAGCUCAUAUAUUUCAGCUUACUAAAGUAUUCAGCUGCUGAUUUUUGUUCAAAGAUAUGUGUGUUCAAGCAACUCUAAAGAUGUGUAUAAGUGUAAGAUCGAGUGGGUCGAUCUUCUAUAAGAGAAGAGCAGCCCUUUAAAUAGGCAAAUAAAGUCAGAUUUUUUGGACAGACUUUGAUUCACCAAAGGUUUGUUCAAAAGACUAACUUUGUGUGCUAAACACUGUUCAAAAAUUGUCCAAAAGGUGAAAGGACAGCCUGAAAAUCUGCUAUGUUAUAAGCAAGGAGAAAAAAUAUUAUUUCAGCCACCCUACUAGUAAAAAGUAGGCUACUAGUACCUUAUUUUAUGAUAAAAUAACCUAAACUUCAAAUUUUAACCAUCAACACUAAACUACUUGCUCAAUACAAAUCAAACUUAAACAACUAUAGACUGCCAAAAUAUAAAUAACUUUCAUUGUAACUAAUAUUCAAACCAACUAGGCUAAAUCAAUUUGAUUUAUGCAACCAACAAUCAAUCAAGAUCAAAGAGUCACUAACUCAAUCUAAACAAAUAAAAACUCAUUAAAUAAGCGAUCAUUAUGAGCAGAUAAUCAGAGCACCAUACUGCAUACCAACCUACUAAAUCACAAACACUAACUAAAUAAGAUUCAUUGAGAAAUUGAGCUACUGUUUUCGGCUAAGACAUCUAAACUAUUUGAUUCAAAGAAAAUACACAAACUAAAAGAUCAUCAUGAAUAAGAAACAAACAGAAAAGUUUUAAGCUAAAACUAGGCCUAAACUAACUUCAAAGAAACAAAAAAUAAAUAAAAAGGAAACAAGAGAUAAGGGUAUACCAAACGAAAGCGCUUUAUGCUAAUUCGAGUACCUGAAGACGCCAAAGAUGAUGGGUGGCGGUUGUCCGACCCUGAGGCACAUGUUUCUUUUUGGCAUAUGCUAAACCAAUAGAUUCCGGCGUCUUGUCAAAAGGAAAUAAGUGCCUUUGGGUCGAAAAAUAAAAAGACGGAGAAGCAGUGGAGGCAGAGGCGGCGGGCAGUGUUGGUCGCUGGAAUUUUGGCUUCCAAAUAAUACUUAUGUGAUAGAUCAUGGAAAUACCUACACACUCAUGUAGGUAUUAAAUGGUGGUGAGGUCUCAAAUUUGACGAAUUUGAAGAGAAAGAGGUGGCUGGGGUUUCGGUGUUUUGGAGAUUCGUGGAGUUUGGUUGGGAUUUUGAGGCAUUGAGUUGGAGAUAUGGAGAUAGGAGGAGAUGGUGCGAAUUUGGGGGUGUUUGGGGCUGGUCGUCGUCGGCGCCGUGGAGAGGGGCGGCGGCGGCAGAGGGGGGAAAGGAGAAAGAAGAAGGAGCCCUAGGGUUUGGGUUA